AUGCAAUGCCAGAUGAUGUUGAAGGUGCCAACAAUUGAGGCAAUCAUAAAUUGCACGGUGAGGGUUCAGAUUUGUUCCAAAUGUGUUUAUCGUACUGAUGUUUUGAACAGGAUGGGAAAAGAGAGAGUAAGCUUCUUUGAAAGAUAUGCUACCAGCAGAAGAGUGGGGUCAAAUGAUCUUAUAUUCUUUGUCUUCUAA